rnacentral:rRNA from 1 species
CCCAGACUCCUACGGGAGGCAGCAGUGGGGAAUAUUGCACAAUGGGGGAAACCCUGAUGCAGCGACGCCGCGUGAGUGAGGAAGUAUUUCGGUAUGUAAAGCUCUAUCAGCAGGGAAGAAAAAAUGACGGUACCUGACUAAGAAGCACCGGCUAAAUACGUGCCAGCAGCCGCGGUAAUACGUAUGGUGCAAGCGUUAUCCGGAUUUACUGGGUGUAAAGGGAGCGCAGGCGGUACGGCAAGUCUGAUGUGAAAGCCCGGGGCUCAACCCCGGUACUGCAUUGGAAACUACCGGACUGGAGUGUCGGAGGGGUAAGUGGAAUUCCUAGUGUAGCGGUGAAAUGCGUAGAUAUUAGGAGGAACACCAGUGGCGAAGGCGGCUUACUGGACGAUCACUGACGCUGAGGCUCGAAAGUGUGGGGAGCAAACAGGAUUAGAUACCCGUGUA